CAGCAGCCACGGUAAUACAGAGGAUGCAAGCGUUAUCCGGAAUGAUUGGGCGUAAAGCGUCUGUAGGUGGCUUUUCAAGUCUGUUGCCAAAUCCCAGGGCUCAACCCUGGACAGGCGGUGGAAACUACCAAGCUGGAGUACGGAAGGGGCAGAGGGAAUUUCCGGUGGAGCGGUGAAAUGCGUUGAGAUCGGAAAGAACACCAUUGGCGAAAGCACUCUACUGGGCCGACACUGACAUUGAGAGACGAAAGCUAGGGGAGCAAAUGGGAUUAGAUACCCCUGUAGUCCCUGUCUCUUAUAC
rnacentral:rRNA from 1 species